rnacentral:lncRNA from 10 species
AGUGACUGAGAAUACUGCUUCAGUAUAUUACCUUUAAAUAUGUUGUUAAAACAUCUGGAGUAAAUUUUAACGAAGUUAUGGGUAGCAAUUUAUGCCCUUCCUGCAACAGCUAUCUGUCUUAACUUGGUACCUGAAGGCAUGGGAAAGUUUCUAAAAUUCAAAUGUUCACUUUUCAAUCAACUUUUAAAAAAUCUAUUUGGCUGGGCUCAGUGGCUCACGCCUGUAAUCCCAGCACUUUGGGAGGCUGAGGCAGGCGGAUCACCUAAGGUCAGG